rnacentral:tRNA from 1 species
GCCGGGGUGGCGGAAUUGGCAGACGCACGGGACUUAAAAUCCCGGGGGUGAAUAACCCGUGGGGGUUCGAUUCCCCCCUCCGGCA